rnacentral:rRNA from 1 species
AGAGUUUGAUCCUGGCUCAGGAUGAACGCUGGCGGCGUGCCUAAUACAUGCAAGUCGAGCGAGAUGUUAGCGCAUGAACCUUCGGGGGAUUAUGCUAACGGACAGCGGCGGACGGGUGAGUAACGCGUAGGCAACCUGCCCCUGACAGAGGGAUAGCCAUUGGAAACGAUGAUUAAAACCUCAUGACACCGUAGAAGCACAUGCUUCAUCGGUCAAAGAUUUAUCGGUCAGGGAUGGGCCUGCGUCUGAUUAACUAGUUGGUGAGGUAACGGCUCACCAAGGUGACGAUCAGUAGCCGACCUGAGAGGGUGAUCGGCCACAUUGGAACUGAGACACGGUCCAAACUCCUACGGGAGGCAGCAGUGGGGAAUAUUGCACAAUGGGCGCAAGCCUGAUGCAGCAACGCCGCGUGAAGGAUGAAGGCCUUCGGGUUGUAAACUUCUGUUCUAAGGGAAGAAACAAAUGACGGUACCUUAGGAGCAAGCCCCGGCUAACUACGUGCCAGCAGCCGCGGUAAUACGUAGGGGGCAAGCGUUAUCCGGAAUUAUUGGGCGUAAAGAGUGCGUAGGUGGUUACCUAAGCGCAAGGUUUAAUUUAGAGGCUCAACCUCUACUUGCCUUGCGAACUGGGCUACUUGAGUGCAGGAGGGGAAAGCGGAAUUCCUAGUGUAGCGGUGAAAUGCGUAGAUAUUAGGAGGAACACCAGCGGCGAAGGCGGCUUUCUGGACUGUAACUGACACUGAGGCACGAAAGCGUGGGUAGCAAACAGGAUUAGAUACCCUGGUAGUCCACGCCGUAAACGAUGAGCACUAGGUGUCGGGGUCGCAAGACUUCGGUGCCGCAGUUAACGCAUUAAGUGCUCCGCCUGGGGAGUACGCACGCAAGUGUAAAACUCAAAGGAAUUGACGGGGACCCGCACAAGCAGCGGAGCAUGUGGUUUAAUUCGAAGCAACGCGAAGAACCUUACCAGGGCUUGACAUCCUGCUGACAGGACCUUAACCGGUCCCUUCUUCGGACAGCAGAGACAGGUGGUGCAUGGUUGUCGUCAGCUCGUGUCGUGAGAUGUUGGGUUAAGUCCCGCAACGAGCGCAACC